rfam:Camelus ferus unplaced genomic scaffold scaffold563, whole genome shotgun sequence.
UAGCUCAAGUGGUAGAGUGUAUGCUUAGCAUGCAUGAGGUCCUGGGUUCAAUCCCCAG